rnacentral:rRNA from 1 species
GCAGCAGCCAGGUAAUACAGAGGGUGCGAGCGUUAAUCGGAUUUACUGGGCGUAAAGCGUGCGUAGGCGGCUUCUUAAGUCGGAUGUGAAAUCCCUGAGCUUAACUUAGGAAUUGCAUUCGAUACUGGGAAGCUAGAGUAUGGGAGAGGAUGGUAGAAUUCCAGGUGUAGCGGUGAAAUGCGUAGAGAUCUGGAGGAAUACCGAUGGCGAAGGCAGCCAUCUGGCCUAAUACUGACGCUGAGGUACGAAAGCAUGGGGAGCAAACAGGAUUAGAUACCCGCGUAGUCCCUGUCUCUUAUACA